GUUCUGGCUGCUUGCUCCAGAGGAAGCGCUGGGCUGUCUGCUCCUUUGGAGCUCUCCUUCCGGACCUUUGCAAGAGUUCCUAAUCGGGUCUUUGCAUUCU